rnacentral:rRNA from 1 species
AUGAACGCUAGCUACAGGCUUAACACAUGCAAGUCGAGGGGCAGCAUGGUCUUAGCUUGCUAAGGCCGAUGGCGACCGGCGCACGGGUGAGUAACACGUAUCCAACCUGCCGUCUACUCUUGGACAGCCUUCUGAAAGGAAGAUUAAUACAAGAUGGCAUCAUGAGUCCGCAUGUUCACAUGAUUAAAGGUAUUCCGGUAGACGAUGGGGAUGCGUUCCAUUAGAUAGUAGGCGGGGUAACGGCCCACCUAGUCUUCGAUGGAUAGGGGUUCUGAGAGGAAGGUCCCCCACAUUGGAACUGAGACACGGUCCAAACUCCUACGGGAGGCAGCAGUGAGGAAUAUUGGUCAAUGGGCGAGAGCCUGAACCAGCCAAGUAGCGUGAAGGAUGACUGCCCUAUGGGUUGUAAACUUCUUUUAUAAAGGAAUAAAGUCGGGUAUGCAUACCCGUUUGCAUGUACUUUAUGAAUAAGGAUCGGCUAACUCCGUGCCAGCAGCCGCGGUAAUACGGAGGAUCCGAGCGUUAUCCGGAUUUAUUGGGUUUAAAGGGAGCGUAGAUGGAUGUUUAAGUCAGUUGUGAAAGUUUGCGGCUCAACCGUAAAAUUGCAGUUGAUACUGGAUAUCUUGAGUGCAGUUGAGGCAGGCGGAAUUCGUGGUGUAGCGGUGAAAUGCUUAGAUAUCACGAAGAACUCCGAUUGCGAAGGCAGCCUGCUAAGCUGCAACUGACAUUGAGGCUCGAAAGUGUGGGUAUCAAACAGGAUUAGAUACCCUGGUAGUCCACACGGUAAACGAUGAAUACUCGCUGUUUGCGAUAUACAGCAAGCGGCCAAGCGAAAGCGUUAAGUAUUCCACCUGGGGAGUACGCCGGCAACGGUGAAACUCAAAGGAAUUGACGGGGGCCCUCACAAGCGGAGGAACAUGUGGUUUAAUUCGAUGAUACGCGAGGAACCUUACCCGGGCUUAAAUUGCAGAUGAAUUACGGUGAAAGCCGUAAGCCGCAAGGCAUCUGUGAAGGUGCUGCAUGGUUGUCGUCAGCUCGUGCCGUGAGGUGUCGGCUUAAGUGCCAUAACGAGCGCAACCCUUGUUGUCAGUUACUAACAGGUUCCGCUGAGGACUCUGACAAGACUGCCAUCGUAAGAUGUGAGGAAGGUGGGGAUGACGUCAAAUCAGCACGGCCCUUACGUCCGGGGCUACACACGUGUUACAAUGGGGGGUACAGAGGGCCGCUACCACGCGAGUGGAUGCCAAUCCCAAAAACCUCUCUCAGUUCGGACUGGAGUCUGCAACCCGACUCCACGAAGCUGGAUUCGCUAGUAAUCGCGCAUCAGCCACGGCGCGGUGAAUACGUUCCCGGGCCUUGUACACACCGCCCGUCAAGCCAUGGGAGCCGGGGGUACCUGAAGUGCGUAACCGCGAGGAGCGCCCUAGGGUAAAACUGGUGACUGGGGCU